rnacentral:rRNA from 1 species
UACGGAGGGGGCUAGCGUUGUUCGGAAUUACUGGGUGUAAAGCGCACGUAGGCGGCUUGAAAGUUGGGGGUGAAAGCCCGGAGCUCAACUCCGGAAUUGCCUUCAAAACCCUUAAGCUAGAGUUCGGAAGAGGAGAGUGGAAUUCCCAGUGUAGAGGUGAAAUUCGUAGAUAUUGGGAAGAACACCAGUGGCGAAGGCGGCUCUCUGGUCCGAUACUGACGCUGAGGUGCGAAAGCGUGGGGAGCAAACAGGAUUAGAACCGUACC